UAAACCCAGCCCUAAUUAUCUUCUAACAUGUCCAAUGGAAAACUAGGGUUCAUCUCCGCCAUUGGAGAGAUCAAGUUGCUGAGUUCGAGUUGAUGAAUCUGUUCGUAGGUUUCGAUCACGUCGUCUGAUCUUAUUUCUCAUCAACCGAAACGCUCUCAGUUACAGAUUUGUGAAUUUCCCUUCUGUAAGGCGGUGUCACUGAGCGUAUAAAAAGUUGCUGCGGUUAUGGGAGGCGAGAGACGUCAGGCGCAGUGGGGAUUUCUUCUCGCUGACAAAGGGAAACCGGAACUGUUACGGGCUACCUUCAACCGAUUCUUCUGGAUUUCUUCUUAGAUCGAGUUAUGGGCGUCGAUAUGCUUCUCCUUGAUGCCAAGGAUAUUACUGAAGAAAACAAAUCUUAUCCAUGCCCAACGGAGUGGUUAUUCGGUGUUGAUAUUGUAAAGAAAUAGGAAGAGUCUUCACGGUUUCACAGCAAGCCCAAAUAUACUUUGUUUUUGGAUCAUCUGGAGAUUCCUUUGAGAAGAAAAGGAAUAGAGUUCUUUUGGUUCGAUGGGAAAUUGGGUCAGAAGUCCGAAGAGAAGGUGCUGAAGGAUUCAAUGGAACCAUCACAAAACAGUUCUGCUUCUGUCUCUGAAACCUGGAGUCGAACUAAAUCUAACCGCAUCUUCACACGUCUUCUUAACGUUACCAUUUCUCUUCAACCUUACGUUAAAAUUAUGGAGAGAUGAUGGCUGCUCUGUUUUUUGAAAUGCUUAUGAUCCAUCAGCGGAAGAGCAAUCGAUCAUAUGAGAAUUAAUCCCGUAGACAUAGCAGCAACACUGUUUAGAGUUCCGUGAGUGAGAACAAGAUCAUAAUAGGCGGUACAAUGCCUGCUUAUUGAAUCUUCUCUUGAACGGGACCCGAGAGCAGCUGUGGCAGCAUUGUUCAAUCUCUGCAUUGAUCAGGGAAACAAAGGCAUAGAGAUGAUAGCCGGCAUAUUAGCUACAUUGGUUGAGAUGCUAAGCUUUGACAAUAAUCUUGGACCCAUGAUAGACUAGCGGUAUAUGUUUGAUUGUAAUGAAAGUUACAUGGCUGUGGUUCCCAUUGCUUGCACAAUCCCAAGAAGAUUGAUAAAUCCCUCCGGCUUAGAAAGAAGGUCAAACCCACUCAAAGUUGUGAGGUUUCAGUUAAAGAAUAAUAAGAUGCCCUUGCCAAAAGUGCCAGUGAGGUUCGAUCUUGAUGAUCAUGAGCACGAACCAAAAGAGAAGUCUCUGGAAGAAAGAGAGGGUUUGAAAACUGUUGAAGGGGAGGUGGAAGUUAUGAGGUUCAAAUCAAGCUGACGAAGCAAAAAGCUCUAACUAAGGCUAUUAGCUAACUGGGAAACGAGAGCGUUUGAAUUUCAAGCAUGUGGUGGACCAGAUCGCAAGUGUUUCAGUUCAUCAGCCUCAAGUCGAUGUGGUGGUUGCUUACAGUGCUUUCACCUCUGUAUGUUACAUUUCAAGAUUUUGUGGUUAUGCUUAGAUGCUGGUGAAAAACAUUACUAUAAAUGUACACGUUUUAGAGAUUGUAGUUAAAUAGGAUAUAUUGAAGGAUUGUGGAAGUCGAGAUAAGAAAAAAAAUUAUAUUUAGGA